GACGAACGCUGGCGGCGUGCCUAAUACAUGCAAGUCGAACGCAGUGGGGACGGGUGAGUAACACGUGGGUAACCUCCCAUCAGAGGGGAUAACACUGGGAAACAGGUGCUAAACCGAUAGUGAUGGAUGGACCCGGGGUGCAUUAGCGAGUUGGUGAGGUAACGGCUCACCAAGGCCACGAUGACUAGCCGCCUUGAUAGGGUGCGCGGCCAAACUGGGCCUGAGACACGGCCCAGACUCCUACGGGAGGCAGCAGUAGGGAAUCUUCGACAAGUGACGAAAGUCUGACCCAGCAACGCCGCGUGAGUGAAGAAGGUUUUCGGAUCGUAAAACUCUGUUGUUAGAGAAGCGGUAUCUAACCAGAAAGUCACGGCUAACUACGUGCCAGCAGCCGCGGUAAUAC
rnacentral:rRNA from 1 species